GAUAAGAAAAAAGUAGGUACGAAAUAAUGCGUUUACGUUAUCAAAGCAGUUUAACUUUAAAUUAAAUAAAAAGGGUAUUGACGGAGGCGGAAGUAGGUCUGCUAAGGUCUUGAAAUGAAAUCAUUCUUUAAAGAAAAGGAUAUAUUGAAAACUCUAAACGAAAAAUACCUGAGCAUUGAUGAGAAUUACGAAGCGUGGAAAGAAGAGCUGAGGAAAAUCCUCCAGUCCCGUGUAUUGGACAAUAGCUCCAUCUGCGAGGACUUUAAGUAUCUCCGAAACAGGAGAUUUCUAAAUCCGGGCUUUUUAUUAGAGGUCUUGAAAAACGUAGAUCCUUUAGCAGUUAGAUUUAUACAGCGGAAUCGAUGGCACAGAAGAUGUCAACGUGAAAUUCGACAAAAGAAAAGAAACGAACAGAACCAAACAGACGACCAUACUAGUUUAACAACACUCUAAACCUACAUUAAAGAUAGAAAAAAAUAUUGUAAUUAUAAUUCAUAAAUAAAACUCUUAACAAAUCUGUUAAAAGGCUAAUUUCAGCCAGCCAUAUUAUGACAACGUAUAAUGCAUGUUUGUAUUGCAUGUAUGAAUACCAUUUCAAAUGAAUUAAUACCAUUUUAAAAGUCUCUUGAUAAAUUGUAUGUAAAUAUAUUGUGCUAAUUAACAUGUUAAGUUCAAUAUGUGUAACAAGUCAGGAAUUAUAUAGAAUAUCUUUAUUUUGUUCUCCAUGUACAAAACUGUUGGAAUUUUUAAAAUAAAAAACAAUGUAAAUGAAAAUGUAGUAAUUACAUAA